CUGGGAGGAGCGCUGCUGUGAUGUCACGGAGAGGAGGUGACAGGCUGAGCAUGAAGACUGUUUCUGGGCACAAAGCCCGAGUGAGAGAAUAAUAGCAUCCCAGGGGCUCCGACAUGUUCCUGGCUUGAUGGCUAACAUUUUACAAGAUCAAAGUCUUAGGAAGUGCUCUGCAGGGAGCGGCCUGCCUCCCCACGCCUGAGCUCCAGCUCCCAGCCCGUCUCGGAUCUCCGGGGUUUGUCUGGGAACAUGCAGCCCGGGCUCCUGGGGCUGUGGACGGGCGGCCCGUUGACCCGGCUCAGAGGACAGCUCAAAGCCGGGCGGGCGGGUGGCAUGGGCUGGUGGAGCCCGGGGCGGCUGACAGGCCGAGGCAGGGGGUGCUCCCCGAAGACCCGGUAAUGACCACUGGGCUUCCGGCCUCUGGUCCCAGCUGAGCAGACAUUUGCUGGUUCUUUCCAGCCCAGUGUCCUCGACUUCUCUGAUUUCUUGCCCUUGGGGUCACAGAGCCUCAUCCUUUCUGGCUGAUGAUGAAGUGCCCUGCCCGUUGCUGCCUCGAUCUACUCCCUCACUGCUACCAGUUGAAGCAGAAACAUUUGGAUCAUCUUCUCUGUUUGCUAGGGAGGAAAGUGAGACACUUCAGGCUUCUAGGUGACCUGACGUGGCUGGUCCGUGGGCCACACUGAGCAGCGAGGCUGUGGACUCUGUGCCCUCCCUUCAAAGCCAGCUCCCGGCAAGGCCACUCUGCUGCCUCUCAUGGUUGCUACCUGAUGCUGCCAGGCAUAUGAAACUGGAAGAUCAAACAGAGGACACUCCUUUCAUCUCUUGGAUCGGGAGCUCCAGAGGUGGUCGGUCUACAACCAGCUGUUCUGGAUCCUUUUUGUGCAUCCAAAUUAGGUGGAGUGGGAGGCAGAGAUUUUCAAAGAUGCUCAGACUGCACUCCCUAGAGAUUCUACUUCCAGUUGACCUAGGAUGGGGUCUAGGCCAUCUCAUUUUCAGAAGGUCCCACGGGAUUAUUGAGCACCAAAGGGUCCUACCCUCAGGCCUGUGGUGAGGGGUAAGGAGCAGAGUGUGUCAGCAGCGCCUCCCUGCGUGAGACGUGAGACGGGAGCCCCCAGGGGGUCUGAACUGAGGUGUGACCGUCCUCAGGAGCUUCUGUUGCAACAGGGUCCCUCUGGCCACUGUGUGAAGAGAAGUGGGGGGACGAGCAGGACCCAGAGGUAGGGAGCCGGGUAAGAGGCCCCUGCACUCAUCCAGACUGCCGGGAUAGGGGACGAAAGGCCCGGACCCCACACUGGGGAGCUUCCAGGUUGAUGACAAACUGACGAAAAUCCACUUUUCUUCAUGAAGUUCUCGGAUGAACCGGGUUAUUAUAAUUCUAGGGGCCAGGCUCUGCAGCCAAUCCUGGGAAGUUAAACCUGAAAAUUGGCUCAGAAGCCCAGCAGCUCCUGGAGGCAGCAAGUGUCCAGAGAUGACUUCUGUUCCCUGAGAAGUAAAUGGAGGGACUGGCAGGGGAAGGAGAGUGUCCCAGGAGCCUUAACGAAUCUCGCCGAGAACUCAGGUCAAGGCAUCUAUGAACCCCUGGCUCAGGCGCUCUCUGGACAGCGGUUCCCAUAGCAGCCCUGAGUCAUCCGGCUCGGCCCCACCCUGCUGUUCACACCUUCAUUGGCAUCCAGAGGAGAUGGUCUCUUCUGGAAGCCUCAGAAAUAAAGAAUGUGCUGGGAGGCUCCUUGUCCCACCUCUGCCAACGUCACCUUCUAAGCUCCUCUCUGCUCACGGAGGCCCAGACACUGAAUCAAAGCUCACAGAGCCAGCUGGCAAGAGUCGGGCAGAGGUCUGACAUCACUGCCUUGGCCGGUCUGCAAAUCAGAACCACCCGGUGAGGGAGGAGGGGGACAGACGAUGGAUGGCUUCCUCUGACAGCCUUUGGGGUCUCAUAUUUAAAAACAUGUAUGUGGCCACUGUCAGAAGCAUUAGAUAGGCUUUGGGUGGUGCCUAAAGGCCUGAUCGGGAUCAUCUGGGCUGGGGGGAGACCUCUGUAUGCCCCACUAUCAACACUGGGUGCCAGAGGGGCCUCUCUGUGAGCCACUGCUGGCAAGCAAGCCCAUCUCUCCUCACCCCUGCAACAGGGGGGUUCAGGGAGGGCACGGCCCCAGAGUCCAAUUGCAGCCAAGGCAAUAAGAACAGUGGCUGAAAUACUAGAAAUUGCACUCUUAAGUAUGGGACAGAAUGGAGCUGAUGCAUGCCUGGAUGAGGGCUGCUGGUGUAAAUUAAAACUAUCUCUUUGGAAGAAACUUGGAAAGUAAACUCUUUCUCAAAGCGA